UAGUAUUGCACAUGAGGCAAAAAUCAUAUAUAAAAGAGACAACCCUCCAUGUGUUGUCAGUAAAAUGGAGCAGGUAUCUGUGAUCCAGGAGGACACCAAUGAUGAUUCUGGGAAUAGAUUACAAAACAAACUGGUGGCUGAAGAUGCUGCAUUGCAAUGUAAGAAGUUGGUGAGAAGUGAACCUUGUGAGAAAAGAUCAGAGAACAAGCUAGACACCAAUGAUACUGUUAUGCUGAGUGAGGAGAUGAGAAGGGAAACUUAUUAUGAGUAUAUAUUUGAAAACGAGCAGGUGGAUGAAACUGCAAUGCUAUGCGAGAAGUUAACGAGAAAGGAAAUUCAUAACAAGUGUUCUUACUCCAUUGGAUCUUCAAAGAGCUAUAGUGACAGCUUUCGAAAGUUGUACAGGUCAAUGAAUGUGCCUGUGCCUAAGCCUCUUCCCUCUUUGGUGG
rnacentral:lncRNA from 1 species